rnacentral:rRNA from 1 species
GUUGUAUAGUCAAGUAAUUAAGUGCAUGUGGUGGAUGCCUUGGCAGUCAGAGGCGAUGAAAGACGUGAUAGCCUGCGAAAAGCUCCGGGAGGCGGCAAAUAUCCUUUGAUCCGGAGAUGUCUGAAUGGGGGAACCCACCUACUUUAAGGUAGGUAUUGCAACAUGAAUACAUAGUGUUGCAAGGCGAACGAGGGGAAGUGAAACAUCUCAGUACCCUUAGGAAAAGAAAUCAAUUGAGAUUCCCUCAGUAGCGGCGAGCGAACGGGGAUCAGCCCAUUAAGUUAUGUGUGUUUUAGUGGAACGCUCUGGGAAGUGCGAACGUAGAGGGUGAUAUUCCCGUACACGAAAGGGCACACAUAAUGAUGACGAGUAGGGCGAGGCACGUGAAACCUUGUCUGAAUAUGGGGGGACCAUCCUCCAAGGCUAAAUACUCCUGACUGACCGAUAGUGAACCAGUACCGUGAGGGAAAGGCGAAAAGAACCCCUGUGAGGGGAGUGAAAUAGAUCCUGAAACCGCAUGCAUACAAGCAGUGGGAGCACCUUCGUGGUGUGACUGCGUACCUUUUGUAUAAUGGGUCAGCGACUUAUAUUCAGUAGCGAGGUUAACCGUAUAGGGAGCCGUAGAGAAAUCGAGUCUUAAUAGGGCGUUUAGUUGCUGGGUAUAGACCCGAAACCAGGCGAUCUAUCCAUGAGCAGGUUGAAGGUUGGGUAACACUAACUGGAGGACCGAACCCACUGUCGUUGAAAAGCCAGGGGAUGACUUGUGGAUAGGGGUGAAAGGCUAAUCAAGCCUGGUGAUAGCUGGUUCUCCCCGAAAGCUAUUUAGGUAGCGCCUCGGACGAAUACCAUAGGGGGUAGAGCACUGUUUCGGCUAGGGGGUCAUCCCGACUUACCAAACCGAUGCAAACUCCGAAUACCUAUGAGUACUAUCCGGGAGACAGACUGCGGGUGCUAACGUCCGUAGUCAAGAGGAAAACAAUCCAGACCGCCAGCUAAGGCCCCAAAAUCAUAGUUAAGUGGGAAACGAUGUGGGAAGGCAUAGACAGCUAGGAGGUUGGCUUAGAAGCAGCCACCCUUUAAAGAAAGCGUAAUAGCUCACUAGUCGAGUCGGCCUGCGCGGAAGAUGUAACGGGGCUAAAACUAUGUGCCGAAGCUGCGGAUGUAUACUUUGUAUACGUGGUAGGGGAGCGUUCUGUAAGCCGAUGAAGGUGUGUUGAGAAGCAUGCUGGAGGUAUCAGAAGUGCGAAUGCUGACGUGAGUAACGACAAAACGGGUGAAAAACCCGUUCGCCGAAAGACCAAGGGUUCCAGUCCAACGUUAAUCGGGGCUGGGUGAGUCGACCCCUAAGGCGAGGCCGAAAGGCGUAGUCGAUGGGAAAAUGGUUAAUAUUCCAUUACUUCUGUGUAAUGCGAUGAGAGGACGGAGAAGGCUAAAUCAGCCUGGCGUUGGUUGUCCAGGUGAAAGGAUGUAGGCAUGUAUCUUAGGCAAAUCCGGGGUGCUCUAUGCUGAGAUCUGAUAGCAAGCUGUACUUGUACAGCGAAGUGGUUGAUGCCAUGCUUCCAGGAAAAGUCUCUAAGCUUCAGUUACACAGGAAUCGUACCCGAAACCGACACAGGUGGUCAGGUCGAGUAGACCAAGGCGCUUGAGAGAACUCUGCUGAAGGAACUAGGCAAAAUGGUACCGUAACUUCGGGAGAAGGUACGCUGUUGUUGGUGAUGGAACUCGCUUCCUGAGCUGACGACAGCCGCAGAAACCAGGCCGCUGCAACUGUUUAUUAAAAACAUAGCACUCUGCAAACACGAAAGUGGACGUAUAGGGUGUGAUGCCUGCCCGGUGCUGGAAGGUUAAUUGAUGGGGUUAGCGUAAGCGAAGCUCUUGAUCGAAGCCCCAGUAAACGGCGGCCGUAACUAUAACGGUCCUAAGGUAGCGAAAUUCCUUGUCGGGUAAGUUCCGACCUGCACGAAUGGCAUAAUGAUGGCGGCGCUGUCUCCAGCAGAGGCUCAGUGAAAUCGAAAUCGCUGUGAAGAUGCAGUGUACCCGCGGCUAGACGGAAAGACCCCGUGAACCUUUACUGCAGCUUGACACUGAACUUUGACCUUACUUGUGUAGGAUAGGUGGGAGGCUUUGAAGCUGGAACGCUAGUUCCAGUGGAGCCGUCCUUGAAAUACCACCCUGGUAAUGUUGAGGUUCUAACUCUGUCCCGUGAUCCGGGACGAGGACCGUGUCUGGUGGGUAGUUUGACUGGGGCGGUCUCCUCCUAAAGAGUAACGGAGGAGUACGAAGGUGCGCUCAGCGUGGUCGGAAAUCACGCGUAGAGUAUAAAGGCAAAAGCGCGCUUAACUGCGAGACCCACAAGUCGAGCAGGUACGAAAGUAGGUCUUAGUGAUCCGGUGGUUCUGUAUGGAAGGGCCAUCGCUCAACGGAUAAAAGGUACUCUGGGGAUAACAGGCUGAUACCGCCCAAGAGUUCAUAUCGACGGCGGUGUUUGGCACCUCGAUGUCGGCUCAUCUCAUCCUGGGGCUGAAGCAGGUCCCAAGGGUAUGGCUGUUCGCCAUUUAAAGAGGUACGCGAGCUGGGUUUAGAACGUCGUGAGACAGUUCGGUCCCUAUCUACCGUGGGCGCUGGAAAUUUGAGAGGAUCUGCUCCUAGUACGAGAGGACCAGAGUGGACGAACCUCUGGUGUACCGGUUGUGACGCCAGUCGCAUCGCCGGGUAGCUAUGUUCGGAAGGGAUAACCGCUGAAAGCAUCUAAGCGGGAAGCCUACCUCAAGAUAAGAUUUCCCUAGGACUUUAUGUCCUCUAAAGAGCCGUUCGAGACUAGGACGUUGAUAGGUUGGAUGUGGAAGCAUAGUGAUAUGUGAAGCUGACCAAUACUAAUUGCUCGUGAGGCUUGACUAUACAACACCCAAGCAGUUG